rnacentral:rRNA from 1 species
AUCCGUAGGUGGCAAGCGUUGUCCGGAAUUAUUGGGCGUAAAGCGCGCGCAGGCGGUCCUUUAAGUCUGAUGUGAAAGCCCACGGCUCAACCGUGGAGGGUCAUUGGAAACUGGGGGACUUGAGUGCAGAAGAGGAAAGUGGAAUUCCAAGUGUAGCGGUGAAAUGCGUAGAGAUUUGGAGGGACACCAGUGGCGAAGGCGACUUUCUGGUCUGUAACUGACGCUGAGGCGCGAAAGCGUGGGGAGCAAACAGGAUUAGAUACCCUGGUAGUCCACGCCGUAAACGAUGAGUGCUAAGUGUUAGGGGGUUUCCGCCCCUUAGUGCUGCAGCUAACGCAUUAAGCACUCCGCCUGGGGAGUACGGUCGCAAGACUGAAACUCAAAGGAAUUGACGGGG